CAAAACCCUAUGUCUAUACAUAUAACUAUGUAGUUUGGGGCCGCUUGAUUCCUAGGCAUUUGUAAAAAUUGGAACAGUGAUAAAGCAUAACAGACAGGACACUAUCAAACGUAGUGGACAGAACAGAUUGCUACUCCACCUGUUCCACAUUUCAAUAUGUGCACUGGGCCAAAAUUCUACAUCUUUUGCCGUAAAAAUGCAGACAUUGCUUUCCGUUAUUCACAUCACUGUCAAGUUAUUCCACCAAGGCACAUACCAAACCAGACAGUGAAAAUUAAACAUCAAUUAAUUUACUAAACAAGCUGUUUGUGCACCACUAAACUGACAUGCACAUUUAAAUUUUAUUUUCGACAUUUUAAAACACACAAACAGCUAUAACUGUUGCAUCACUUAAAGCUCAAACUAACAAAAUUCAAGGCAGCAAUGCAUUAUUUCACCUAAUCAAAUUUCCUCUACGCAAAGAGGGCAUACAUAAAGCUUUGUGGCGCUUUGGUGGAAUCCACACUUGUUAAUUUGGAAGGAAUAAAGCUGUUUCAUCACAUUAAGGUUUGAAUGUAAUAGAGAGAUGGGCAACAAAAAUCUGCUAGGGUGUGAAGAGUGCAGAUCUUGUAAGUGCAGAUGGUAUGAUUAGCAGCAGAACCAGUUAGUUACGUGCACUCCACAGGGCCCUGCUGAUACAUGCUUGGCACACUCAGGACCCAUAUGAGAGCGUGCACUGAAAGUUUAUGACAGCCAGUGAAUAUAUUUCUACAAAGAAUGGUAGUGGCUUUCUAAAGAUAAUUAGUGCAAGAAAAACUGUACCAUCAUAAGAGAAAACAAAACGACAGCUAAAAUGAAAAUAUCACUAAGAGGCUUCAUACCAUAACUGCACAGCAUUAUGACAUACUUUCA
rnacentral:lncRNA from 1 species